rnacentral:sRNA from 1 species
UAAGGGAUAGUGCCACCACCAGUUUAGAACAACAACUUUGAGAUCAAGAGUGGUCUCAUCUCCAUGAUCCAAGGAAACAAGUUUCAUGGUCUACCUAUGGAAGAUCCCCUGAACUAUCUUGACAGCUUUGAUAGGCUCUUUGGCCUUACUAAGAUCAAUGGUGUCACUGAAGAUAUGUUUCAGCUCAGAUUAUUUCCCUUCUCUUUGGGAGACAAGGCACACCACUAGGAAAAGACUAUACCCCAAGACUCCAUCACCUCAUGGGACGAUUGUAAGAAAGCUUUUCUUGCCAAGUUCUUCUCUAAUUCUCGUACAGCUAGAUUGAGGAACGAGAUCUCAGGCUUCACACAGCAAAACAUAAAACUUUCUGUGAAGCUUGGGAGAGGUUUAAAAGCUACACCACUCAGUGCCUCCAUCACGGUUUUAAGAAGGCUUCAUUAUUGAGCACACUCUAUAGAGGAGCCUUACCAAAGAUCAGAAUGCUACUUGACACCGCCUCCAAUGAAAACUUCCUGAACAAGGAUGUAGAAGAAGGAUGGGAGUUGGUCGAAAAUCUAGCACAAUCUGAUGGGUGCUACAAUGAAGACUAUGAUCGCUCAGUGAGAGGAACUAGAGGUAGUGAGGAUAAACAGAGCAAGGAUAUCAAGGCUCUGAAAGAACAGCUACACAAGCUGUUGCUAGCUCAGCAAAAGUAGAUACACUACAUCACUGACGAAGAGCACUUCCAAAUGCAAGAAGCGGGGAAUGAUCAAACUGAAGAGUUGUGCUACAACAAGGGGUAAAACAACUACAAACCCAACCCAAACCUUCUAUAGAAGCACUAAUGUAGCUAACCCCCAAGAUCAAGUGUAUCCACCACAACAGAAUCAGUCUAAGCCUUUUGUUUAGUACAACCAAGGUUAUGUCCCUAAACAACAGUUUAAUGGAGGCUACCAACAGCAGAAUCCACAUCCACAUGGUCUAAUAGAGAACCUUCCUGUCAAGAUUGAAAAUGUUAAGAUACCUACAGAUUUUGUGGUAUUGGACGUAGAUGAAGAAGGCAAGGAUCCCCUGAUCCUAGGCAGACCAUUCUUAGCUUCAGCUGGAGCAGUCAUAGAUGUAAGGAAUGGAAAAAAUAAUCUGAACCUUGAAAAAGGCAUCAAGAUGAAGUUUGACUUCAGAGAAGCUUCAGGGAAAUCAACAACAGGAGGUCAAAAUUUUGGGAUUCAGGACAUGGAUGUUGAUGAAGAAACAGAAGCUGAAACCUCACCAAGAGUUAACUAUACUUCUCAACUUAGCAAGCUGAAGAGGACUUUUGACCACAAGAAGAGAGCAAUUGAAAGGCUAGCUCAGACUGAAGAUCCUACAGAAGAUGACUGGUAUGAGAUGAGAAAAAAA